CGGGCGGUAGCGCAGUCUGGUAGCGCACGUGCUUUGGGAGCAUGAGGCCGCUGGUUCGAAUCCAGUCCGCCCGA
rnacentral:tRNA from 1 species